rnacentral:rRNA from 1 species
UACGGAGGAUGCGAGCGUUAUCCGGAUUUAUUGGGUUUAAAGGGUGCGCAGGCGGCACGGCAAGCCGGCGGUCAAAUCGCGGGGCUCAACCCCGCCCAGCCGUCGGAACUGCCGGGCUAGAGUGGGCGAGAAGUGCGCGGAAUGCGUGGUGUAGCGGUGAAAUGCAUAGAUAUCACGCAGAACUCCGAUUGCGAAGGCAGCGCACCGGCGCCCUACUGACGCUCAGGCACGAAAGCGUGGGUAUCGAUCAGG